rfam:Glarea lozoyensis 74030 unplaced genomic scaffold M7I_scaffold1, whole genome shotgun sequence.
GCUUGGGUGGUUUAGUGGUAAAAUCGAUGCUUGCCAAUGAGUCCAGUCAACUGGAUUCAUGAAUGCAUUGGCCCCGUGUUCGAUUCACGGUCCAAGCA